UAGAAUAUUUACUGGAUCAUGCAUUGUACUGUAAACCAAAUUUUAUUCGCGACAACUUCAUUUUGCGAUUUACCACCGACGACUAAUUUCGCGACCGAGAUUAUCUUUAUUAUACAAGAAACAGUAAAGGGCUUGUUCGUGGCGAGAAAUAUUCGCGAUGUAGAGGUUCUCAUGAACCUCGUAAAAAAUUAUCACACGCGAAUAAAAGUUGGUUCAUAGUAUUUCUGUUUGUCUGGUUUUGCAAUCCAAAUAUGGAUUAAAACAUACAUGUUAUAUAUAAAUAUGUUUUGUUAAAAUAAUCAUUGUUAAGUUGUAUAUCUAAAAUAUUAUUAUUAAUUGUGUUGUGUUUUAAUAACGGUGAUGGUUUUCAACCGCUUGUCCGAGAAAUGACCCGUCUCCAAUGGGUGGAUUAAAUGAGUGCAACCCGAUAGCUGAAUAAGCAAGUCACAUAUAUGGGAUAGAUGAAAUGAGUAAGCAGGUCCGAUAACCAAUGCACAGAGAACAGUAGCUGAGUAAUCAAUCCCAGUCGAAUAACAGUGGUGACCGAUAGUCGGGUCAACUGAGUGCACCCCGAUAGCCAGGUCAAAUAACUCCGCAAUCGUAACUACUCGGCUAUUUCCGUAACCGCUAAUAACCGGUUACGCAAAGGGACGAGCAUAAUCCGAUUGAUAACUCUGGUCCCUAUAGCUGGGUCAAGUGAGUGCAGAACAACGCGACUCAGAUCAAAUGACCUUUGACCCAGCCAUAAAAGGGACGUUAUACUACUGACAACCGCUCAGAUGAUGUCAUCAAAUAGCACAUGGUAACAUUAUACAUUUAUUGACUGAGGUCGAGGGCGAUAUGUGAUUUAUUCAACCCGAGAACCAAAAUGUUUAGUUUUACAUAGGGAAAAGUGGAUUGCAUGAUUUUCAUUUUCGUUUAAAAUCGAGCGAUUGAUUGAUUGAUUGGGGUUUUACGCCGUUUUGGCAAUAUUUCAGCCAUUUUUCGGCGGUAAAAAUCAAGCGAACAGGCGAACAUCGUGCGAUAAUCAUAGGACGAAUCGCACAUGAGAGUCAUACAUGUACGAUUUUCAUCCAAACCUUUUUCCUUUUGCCUUGUUUACACGUGAUAACCAUGCAUUCGUAUAUACAUGUCACAAAACAAGAAGCAAGAAGAAUUCAUUAAUAUCACAGUUUGCAGUCAUAUUUUGGGUUUUCUUAUCAUCAAAACGACAAGAGGACAUUAAAGUUAUUAUGCAAGAAUAUAAAAAUUAUUUAUUGAUGCAUAUGUCUAUAAAAGAAUAUUUCUUGUGAUUUCAUGUAUGAUAAAGUAAAUUAUGGUAUUUUAAAAACUUGAAAUAGAAUUAGAAAUUUUCUCUUGCAGAAAAUUUUGCAUAUAAUCCAUGUGACUUACGUGAAUCACCUGACGCAAUUACGUGUGAAUCACUUUCCUUGUAUAUAAAUAAAAGGAAUAGAUGUCGUGUUUGUUUUUAUUAGGGUAUAAAAUCAAUGAAGGUAUAACUUACGUUCAUGAAUUUCGCCACUGCUCUUUAUGGAUGUUCAGCCUGGAAUAAUCAAACCAACAGAUUGUGAUCUUGCGCAAUAAUCAACCAAUAAAACGGCAGCUUGUGAAAUAACCAAAAAAUAAAAUGACAGCUUGUGAAAUAAUUAAAAAAAAUGUAAAUAACCAACCAAUAAAAUGACGACUUGUAUUUGUAUUUCAAUGAAGUGCUCAGUGUACAGGGAAGCAUUCAAUACAGAGAGAUACAGCGUCACAGACUCCACUAUCAGGUCAAUACACACCGUGUUACUUUGCUGUAUAUAAAAUACAAUGUCGGGACACGGAAGCCAUGACAGCAAUAAAACCAAAUCCGGCCAGUGUAACUUAAACAACCCGGAAAACCGGGGACAGAUCACCGGUCAUUCUGGAACCGAAAAUAAAAAGGACCUUCAUGAAACUAACAAACACCAUACACCACCAAGCAACGACAGUCACCAACCAAAGCAAAGUGGUGGCAAUUGAAACACAUGACUGGCUGAAAAAGACAUUUCUUUAAUUUGUAUGUCAAUGUUUUGAUCAACUCGAUAAAAAAAAUGCUAUAAUAAUUUUCUUGGCUCUCGAAUUAAAAGAAAUUUGUCUAAA